CAGGGAAUCUUCCGCAAUGGACGCAAGUCUGACGGAGCAACGCCGCGUGAGUGAAGAAGGAUUUCGGUUCGUAAAACUCUGUUGUUAGAGAAGAACAGCGCAUAGAGUAACUGUUAUGCGUGUGACGGUAUCUAACCAGAAAGCCACGGCUAACUACGUGCCAGCAGCCGCGGUAAUACGUAGGUGGCAAGCGUUGUCCGGAUUUAUUGGGCGUAAAGCGAGCGCAGGCGGUCAAUUAAGUCUGAUGUGAAAGCCCCCGGCUCAACCGGGGAGGGUGAUUGGAAACUGGUUGACUUGAGUGGAGAAGAGGGGAGUGGAAUUCCAUGUGUAGCGGUGAAAUGCGUAGAUAUAUGGAGGAACACCAGUGGCGAAGGCGACUCUCUGGUCUGUAACUGACGCUGAGGCUCGAAAGCGUGGGUAGCAAACAGG
rnacentral:rRNA from 1 species